rnacentral:rRNA from 1 species
UACGUAGGGGGCAAGCGUUGUCCGGAUUUAUUGGGCGUAAAGAGCGUGUAGGCGGUUUGGUAGGUCCGCUGUGAAAACUCGAGGCUCAACCUCGAGACGCCGAUGGAAACCAUCUGGCUAGAGUCCGGAAGAGGAGAGUGGAAUUCCUGGUGUAGCGGUGAAAUGCGCAGAUAUCAGGAAGAACACCCGUGGCGAAGGCGGCCCACUGGGCCGGUACUGACGCUGAGGCACGAAGGCGUGGGGAGCGAACGGG